GCCGGAAAGUGCCGGGACUGUCGUGAAGAGCCCUUAGUCGGCCGCGCCGGGCUCCCUGCCUGGCGGCAGAGGGCGGAGCGAGGAGCCUUGGGGCGGGGCGAAGCGGCCGCGAAGGGGCGUGGUCAGGCCCCGCCCUUCCCGGUGAGCGAGGAGGAGCGAAGAUGUUCACCGGAGCUGCUUCUCUUCCGCCGAAUGACCAGUCUCUUUCCUGAGGCGUCCCGAUCCCUCUCCGCGCUUUCAACCUAAGAAGACUCCGAGAGCCCGCAACUUACCUGGGUCACUCCCCGCACCCAUUAGGCCUCUCCAGACGUGAAAAGCGCGGGCGCAAAUGUCAGACUCUUCCCAGAGAGGUUCCCGCCGAAUUAGGACGCACCUGGAAGGGCUGCCCCGGUCUAGAGACUGUGUGCAAGUUUCUUUAUUCUCUCUUCCAGUACCUGCCAUGAACCAGAGGUUUGAAAGCAGCAGGGGAAACCGGAACAACAUAGCUGCAGAGGGUAUGCAGAGUAGGGGCAAUGAAUAGAGUGGUCGAUCAAGGAAAGUCUUAGAGAGGCUGCACAUUGGCAUUUUUUAAAAAUUGCAAACGCAUGGCAGGAAGGAAUGCAAUGACCACUACUACAGUUUGGUGCCACUGUCUCACUCCUGCUAAGUUGCCAGCAGUUUUGCCACCAUUGCUUUUUGCAUCAUCAGUGCAAAUGUCAACGCUGUUAAAAAGGCAAAUAACAUCUCAGUAUUAUUAUAGUAGUUUUGUCCCUAAAGACUCCAGGGGUUCAUGGACCAUGUGCUGAGGGCCACUAUCCUAAAGGGAAAAAGCGGCAGGGGUAGAUGCAAAAGUAGAGAUUAUUGGGCACAGUUGUGUUUGGCAGGUGGAAUCACUGGGCUAACAAGUGUUCCUGCUGUUGAGGGUCUGGCCCACUUCUAGGUCAUCCUAAUAGGCAAGGGAGGCCAAGUCACUUUGGAAGCCAUAGAUCUAUUUAGGGGAUGGAUCUCUUAAUCCACUGUCAAAUCCCAGUCCAAAUGAAUACAGUGUGGGUUGGGAAAUUUGGUCUAGAUCUUCCAGGAUCACUCAAAAUUAGAUGGUUCCAUUAAGUUCAGUGUUGAUGGUCUGUUAUGUGCCAAGAACUGGACAAGUUACAGAGGAGGAAACAGAAGUGAUUAAGUUGUGGCCUCUGUCCUAUCGAAGUAGAAUAAUAAUAAUAUAUAGAAAUAAUAAAAUAAUAAUAGAAUGUAGGGAGUCAUCAGUAUUAAGUGAGGUUCGAAGUGCUACGGGAGCACUGAGGAAGAAAUGAAUUAUGACUGGAGAAAUCAGGAAAGUUUUUUUGAAAACUUGGGCCUUAAAGGAUGAGUAAAAUUUUGAGAGGAGAGAGGGAAAUCAAAAGUUCUCAGUAGUCUUGGGUGAACUGAGAGCAUUCUGUGUAAGAGAACUACAGCUAGUAAACGAGCUGUGCUAACUCUUCACCUUUCCAUCCCAUGAUUUUAACUUGUUUUUGUUCAAGGCGUUGAUUUCCAGUUUAUCCUUUCAGGACCAAUAUACAGAGACUCAUGGCAUCAAACAUUCAUUUAUCUAUAAAAUAGUCCAAAAUUUACAAAAGGAAUUUCUUCAUGGUUCUUUUCUAAUAAAAAUUCUCUUUCUGUCUGCACUGUGGAGAAAGAAGCCCUCUUUCAGAUCUCUCAAUUCAAUACCCUAAACACUUAGUGAAUGCCUACUACGUGCAGGAUAUAUGUUAUUUUCUACGAGGGGUACCAAAGUAAAAACACAGCCCCUGCCUUCACAGAGCUUAGAGUCUCAGAGGAGUCAAAUGUGUAUGUAGUUAAUGGCAAAGCAUAUUAUAGGCUCUAUAAAAGAUACAGUGUGAUGGUGAUCAGAAGAGGAAGACGUUAACUUCAUUGGGGAAAUCUGGAAGACUUCAUGGCAGCAAUGUCUCAAAUAUGAAUAGACUUGCCAUAGGCAGUGAUGAAUGAAGGAGGAUAUUCACUCAUCAUGAGACAAGUCCACUUGAGCAAAGAUGAGGAAACCAAAACUCCCGGAGGGAACCUUGCCUAAAACUGCACAACCAGGGAGCCGUAGAGCUGAUGCCCAAAUCUUCUGAUCACGCAGGGACUGAGAACACUCUUCAUCACACCCCAAUUGCUUCUUUGGUUGCAACUUCUACCAUGUAGCAUCUUUUCCUUACAAAGUGACUGAUGCUCUCCUUCUCCUGGGAUAGAGUCUUCCUUGACUGUAAAGGAAUCAGUGACUUUUGUUCUCUUGUUCCCUGACCAUAGCACCAUUUCUGCUCAUAGAGUAUUGUUUGGUGCCUUACUGAAAGUCUCACCUUGUGAGGGCGUUAGCCAGAUGGUCUUUUUUCCUUCUUCAUUUUCUUCUUUUUUUGACCACGCCUUGCGGCUUGUGGGAUCUCCGUUCCCUGACCAGGGUUUGAACCUGGGCCACGGUAGUGAAAGCCCAGAAUCCUAACCAUUAGGCCAACAGGGAACUCCCAGAUGGUCUUCUGACAAAGGGUAACAUUGUAAUGUUUGUACAGGUGAGGCCAAGCCUGCGGCAAUUCUGUAUGGUGAACAUGAGGACAGAGAGGUCACAGGCCCAACUGUGGGCACUUCGGAAUCUCCCUGAUGGUUGCUGGGUCUAGGCCAAGGGUCAUCUCCCUCAGAGACACCAGUGUAUGUCCAAGGCUUGCAGUGGCAUACCAGACCCCAGUAACUCCUCAACUGUUGUAACUCUCCUUUCCUCCCUGGGAAUCCUCUGUCAUUUCCUCCUGCUCCCCACAAACUUCCUACUCUGACCCUUUGUUUCUUGGCACCCCUCAUGUUCCCUCAACCACCAAUUCACUUAGCAUCGGGAAUUCUUAGUAAUAGUAAUCACAAAAGCCACCAUUUACUGAGGGUUUUUAGAGUACCAGGCAUAGACAAUGGAGGUAACUGAGGCUUAGAGAUGUUACAUAAACCUGUCCAAUGUCACAUAAAUAUUAAGGUACAGAUCAGCAUAUCUAAUAGAAAUGUAAUUUGAGCCACGUUGGUAAUUAAAAUUUUCUAUUAGCCAAAUUAAAAGAGAAAAGAAACAGGUGAAAUUAAUGUUAUCAGUAUUUUUUAUUUAACAAUAUAUCCUAGGUAUCUAUCAACAGACCAAUGGAUAAAGAAGAUGUGGUAUAUAUAUAUACAAUGGAAUACCACUCAGCCAUAAAACAGAGUGAAAUUUUGCCUUUUGCAACAACAUGAGCAGACCUCAAAGGUAUUACGCUUAGUGAAAUAAGUCAGACAGAGGAAGACAAAUACUGUAUGACAGGGGUCCCCAACCCCCAGUCCUCGGACUGGUACCAGACCACAUCCUGUUAGGAACCGGGCUGCACAGCAGGAGGUAAGCGGCAGACAAGCGAGUGAAGCUUCAUCCAACGCUCCCCACCGCUCCCCAUCGCUCGCAUUAACCCCUGAACCAUCCCUCCCACCCCCCCACCCCCGUCUGCGGAAAAAUUGGCUUCCAUGAAACCCGUCCCUGGUGCCAAAAAGGUUGGGGACCCCUGCUGUAUGAUAUCACUUACAUGUGGAAUCUAAAAAAUACAACAAACUACUGAAUAUAACAAAAAAGAAGCAGGCUCACAGAUAUAGAGGACAAACUAGUGGCUACCAGUGGGGAGAGCGAGGGGGAGUGGCAUUUAGGGGUAGGGGAUUAAGAGGUGCAAGCUACUAUGUAUAAAAUAAGCUAAAAGGAUGUAUCAUACAACCCAGGGAAUAGAGCCGAUAUUUUAUAAUAGCUAUAAAUGGAGUAUAACCUUUAAAAAUUGUGAAUCACUAUAGUGUACACCUGUAACUUAUAUAAUAUUGUACAUCAACUAUAACUCAAUUAAAAAAUAAGGCACUUGGGGCUUCCCUGGUGGCGCAGUGGUUGAGAGUCCGCCUGCCAAU